CAUAGAAUUCUUUUAUUCUUGGUAACUUGCGCGCUAACUGGAAGUUUCUGGCGCCCGGAUUUAGGCUUUGCGACCGCACAGUAGAUAUUGUUGCGGUCGCAUAGAUUAUGUCUUGGCUGCCCCUCAAUUCCCUGAUUGCUGUGUUGCGGCCGCAUGAAAUGUAUAAGCAUGCGAUCGCAUGGCUUGCAAUCUUGCCCCUUCUUCAGCCGUUUAGAUCAGUUUGCUCCCAAUUGAUUCGGCCUUAACACCCAACUACAAUCUUGUUCUUUGGCUAGCCAUCUUCAACACCCAAACUUGAUACUUGGCUUGAGAUCUUCAACAUGCUCAAUUCCAUGACCUUGACACUUGAUCGCAUGACUUUAUUGGCUCGAAUUGGCGCCCAACUUUGCUCAAAUCUCGACUUCGAUCUCUCGCCAACAUGUGUUAAUUCAUUGCAAUCUUGAUGCGUAUCCGGGAUCACAUCAACGACGAUUUUUUUUAUCACCUCCGACGGUUCUGUCUUUCUACAAGGCCAAUUUUAUUAUUUACAACUAAUUUACGAAUACUUGACUAGUUGGAUACUUUGAACUGUGUUGGAAUUGGGUGGGUAAUACCCAUUUUCACAAGUUCUGCCGAAAGGAUUUUAUUUAUUAUUUUUUUCCCAAGGGAAAAGUGGUAUUUUUUCAGUCCUGUUUGGAUGGUGAAAUUGGGUCGAAGUGUUUGAUACUUUGAUUGUAUCAUGUUUAAAUAUAGACCAAAAAAUUUGGUUUCAGUCAUUUUUCUUGUGUCUUGCAGACAAAUAAAAAUGCCCAUAUUCUUGCUCUCACCGAUGAGGGGGGUUAUAUUGGACUGUCAACACAAUGCAGAAGAUUUCGGAUUCCUCGCAUUUCGGCAGAAAAUGCAGGUUAAUUAAAUUUUCAACAUACAAUGGUCAUUAUUAAGCUGCUUAAUGUGCUAAUCAUGGUUGAAAACAUAUUUGCAGAAAAAGCCAAGGUGUCGGAGCGGGUUGCUCACGAUAAAGCCAAGGUGCCCAUUUUCUUGUCUCCUUAUUAUAAUUUUGCUGAUACUUUUUAAUGGUUUGAAGCUUGUGUAUUGAUGAAAAUUUUAUAACUACUUUAUAAGCUCCAAUCUUGUCCCACUGUUAGAGAAUUUUGUGAGAAACCAACUUCUAAUUUGGUUGUGAACUUGUGAUUGCUGUUCAGUUUAUGAGUUGAGUUUUAUCUAUGCUAUAGUAAUUAGUUCUAUAAAUUUUUGAGGCUCCUUGACUAUAUUAAUGUUGCUUUACACCCAAAAAUGAAUUAACUUUAAUAUUUAUCAACAAGUCGUCUCAAACCAAUCAACCCGACCCAACCCGACCGAUACUUGAUUGCGUUGGGUUGGGUUUCAAACUUUACACGGGUUGGAUUGGGUUAAAUUUUGAUCAAAAGGGUUGGGGAACCCAUGCCCACCCUUAGGGAUAAUAAUUAAUUGUGCAAGACUCAAUAAUCAGGAAGUUAAAGGACUAAGACAAUAAAAAAAAAUUUGAAGGGACUAAAAAAAAUUUUUUUUGACUCGUGCAAAUUGCGACGAUACGGACGUGAACAAUACGAUAAACAUUAACUUUUUUUUUUUUACCAAAAAACACAAACAAUUAAACUAACAAUGAAAUUUUAGAUCUAAGACUCAAACUGACUGAAAAAGCACGAAGAACACGAAGAAUACAAACAAGACUCAAAACAAAAAAUUCAGAGGGAUAUAACUUUGAAUCUGUUGCCCAAAGCUCUGAUACCACCUGAUGUGAACCCGACCAGCAAUGUUACAAUCGAACUCACAGAAGAAUGACUCAAACUCUAAGAAAGCCAGAAAACAAAGUUUAUGGAAAUUGACCCACAAUUAAUGAACCAAACAAUCAUCACAUUCACUAGGAUAUGCUGACCUUUUGAUUACAAUAUUAAUGAAAAUCAAAUCCGGAAUUUAAAGUUUGACUCGAAGAAUUAAAUGAACCAAAAAUCAAGACAAUUAUUAGAAUACCUUGACCCCGUGAUUGCACAACCAACGGAUCGCACUUUGAUUGUUGAACGCCACGAGAGGAUAUCUCGACAAGUUCGGGAUUGUUCGCAAAGAACAAACAAAGGAAGCAAACGUGCCUCUGAAUUAAUUUAAUCUCAAAAACUGUCUUACAAUGAAAAUAGGUUCCUAUUUACAUGUAACCAAGAAAAAACCUAAAAAUCUAAUUUAAAAGGAAAAAUACGUCCAUAAUAUCAUGAAAAUAAGAAAGAAUAUAAUUCUAGUCAAAAUAGGAAAACUCGCGAAAUUUGCAACACCGGCCCCCAAAAUAAUACCAUGCGGCCACAUGGUUUAGUUGUGGCAGCCGGUUAAUUCCCUGCCUCAUGCCAUGCGGCCGCAUGCUUGGACGCUGUGCGGUCGCAUGGUUCCCUUUUUUCGGCUCCGUUUUUCGGCUACUCGGUUCAACUUGCUUUUGGCCCUCGUCCCCAACACGAAACUUGACCCUUGACUUGCUAACUUCAGCCUCUCGGACUCCAAAACUUGAAUUGAUGAUUGCAUGACUUGUAUUAACGACAAUUGGCCUCCAACUUAGCUUAGAUUUUGGUCUCAACCCGCCUCCCACAAUUAGCAACUUCUCAAUCAAUUUGGGCGGGUUCCAGAUCACAUCACCUACAGAAUAGGAUAUUUAAUUGAUGAACUUCAGGGAAUUGUGUGUUUCUUCCUAUGGUGCAUAAGUUUCAGGGGUAAACGUAGUGCAUCACCAGGACUUGAACCAGGAAAUUCGGAUUGCACUCAUUGUGGCUUUGACUCUUCCUGGGGUAAUUUUCCUGUUCUUGGCAUGCAUUUCAAUACGCUGACUAAAAGGGUUAAAGAAAUACUGUGAAAAAAAAAAUCAGAGUCCAGGUACCAUUUUUCAAGUGAACUCCAUUUUCCUUCCCUUCUCUCCUUGUUUUUUUGUUUUGAGUAGCUUGUGGGGGUAGGGGAAAGUAAGUUGAUAUAGGAUUACCAAUAAGCCUAAAACAGAUUUUUUUUCCUCGGCUGUACUAUUGAUCUUGGUUGUACUUUUUGUAAUGCUCUGUUGACGGUAAUUUAUUUGAAUAUGCAUAAGUAGAAGCUGCAAAUGGGAUCUCAUUAGGUCCCAUUUUGGAUAAACACACUUCUUUGAGAAUCAGAAUAAAAAAGGGCUCAGUAGGUGAUAUCGAGUAACAAUUGUUAUUAGCGGCUACAAAUAAUUUCCAAGACAACAUUCUCAGUGAAGGUGGAUGGAGGCACUUUUAUAAAGACCACUUUGCGAACAACUUUCAAGCAGCCAUUAAAAAACUACCUGCUGGUGGACAGGUAGCUGAAAAGAGAAUUUGAGGUAAAUUUGGGCAUGUUUGAUUCCAUCUUUCGAAAUUCAGUUAAUCUUUUGUAGGAUUUCAUUACGGCUUUAUUUCAAUUAAUUUUGCAGAAUGAGAUCAAGUGGGUGAAUUAGAUUCAGCAUCAGAACAUUGUUUCGCUUCUGGGAUACCGUAUUCAUGGCAAAGGGCACUAUCUCGCCUAUGAACUGAUGCACAAUGGUUCUCCGGAAUUCCAGUUACAUGGUAAAAUGUGUGAUCCAGAUUUAUUUGAUAUUGUUUAGCUAACUUAUACAUAGUAAGUUUUAUAAAGUUAAUUUUUUAUUGAUAGAAAAUGAGAAAUAAGCGAGUUAUCUGUAUCGACAUAAAGGUUAGAGUUUAGAUGUACUUAAAAAUAAUUUAUUUAUUGUUAUUAUUAUUAUUAUUAUUAUUAUUAUUAUUAUUAUUAUUAUUCUUAUUAUUAUUAUUAUUAAAUUAAAAGUAAGGAAUAAAUUUCUCAAUCAAAAAUGUUUGGAAACAACUUUUACUUGCUCUGAAGCUUAGCCAAGCUUCCCCAUAGUUAGAAGUUAGAACGACGGAUAAACCACAAAGGUCCAGUAGAGCAGCACCAAAAAAGAAUCCCAAGUCCACGAAUUGUUGAAGCCAAAAACACUAGGAAUUUAUUUGCAUUCAGUUUUAUUUUUUGCUUUGCACGUUACAUUCAGUUUUUACAUUUCUGUUUAAUGCUUCCUUAAGUUUAGGAGGUACUUGGUUAAAUUGUUAUGGCUUUUGCCUAUAUAUAUGUCACGUACAUGAAGGAAAUGCUGGAAAUAAAUUCAAUUAUAAACAUUGGUUUAGCUUUCACCAGAAGAAAGUUCUUGCAAUUAUCAUAAGCUCUGACUAUGACCUAUCAUUUGGUAUAAGAGCCUUAUCUCCAUGGCAUCUAAUAAAGAAAAGAGUGACGUUGCCCCCACGGGCAUGGUGCAGUGGUAAAGUAGGAGGGUUCUUUACGGAGCAUCGGAGGUUUGAAUCCCCGCGGCAACUGGAAGGCAACAUUUUUGUUGGAAGGCAGAAGUCCUGUGGAGGCAAAGUUAAGGUGCACUUUGUUGUUCCUUCAGGGUUCCUGUCCGCACGUUGUAAAGAGAGGUUUAUAGGGAGGAAAAUCGCAUCCCGAACGUCCGGCCCAAGUGUAUAUAAGCUGUGACCUAAUCCGGAUUUACCCGAGAGGCAAACCUAGGGAGAAGGCCUCCACUCUUUAGGAUUAGUUGGGCGAAGCUCAGACACCCGAGUCAUAAAAAAAAAGUAAAAGAAAGGAUUGAAGUUCUGGAGGCUGGACUCAGUGGAGAUUGAGAUGGGAUGCAACAGAUAGAAUGUGGUAUAGCUAAUAAACUAUAGUUACUAUACCAGUUGGAGGAGACCAUCAACCAACUUGCGGAAGCUAUGUUCUCCAACAGAGAAUCUCCUAACUACUACAACACCGAAGGAGGCGAAUUUUCUCAUACCAACAGAGACGAUAACGACAGAGGCAGAGCAAUCUUUUCCUCUAAAAUGGUGAAACUUGAGUUUCCACGUUAAUCCGGAGAUGACCAUAUUGAGUGAUUCAACAGAGUUAAUCAAUUUUUUGAAUAUCAAGGCACCACAGAAGCACAGAAGGUGACCUUAGCUUCAUUCCACCUCGAAGGAGAAGCCAACCAAUGAUGGCAAUGGCUGCGCUGAACUUACAAAGAGGAUAGAAGAGUGGUAACCUGGGCUAUUUUUGAGGGGGAAUUGUUGGGAAGAUUUGGACCCACUAAAUGUGAAAACUUUGAUGAAGCUCUCUUACAUAUUCAGCAAGUGGGUUCCCUGCGAGAAUAUCAGCAGAAAUUUGAGAAGCUGGGCAACCGUGUACAAGGGUCGACUCAAAAUGCAUUGGUAGGAACCUUCAUGGGUGGACUCAAACCAGAGAUAGCUGAAGGUGUUCGAAUGUUCAAACCACGGACGUUGAAGCUAUAAAUCUUGCUCAGAUGAAAGAUGAGCAGCUGCUCUGCCAACAGAGUUCCACACAGCAAAUCCAGUGGAUGGGCCGCAGUCGACCCUUUCAACUCCAACGCAAUCCACACAAAAAUCCCCUAUGAAGCGGCUCACGUGGGAUGAAAUGCAAAAACGGAGAGCACAGGUUCUUUGUUUCAAUUGAAAUGAAAGAUUUACUACUGGUCACAAGUGCCAAAGAUCACAAUACAAACAUUGGCAAAAUUACAUGUGAAGAGAUCAUAGAGGACAACCGGCAUGACAACAAAGCAAGUGCAAGUGAGCAACAUCCAAAAAGACCUCCAGAAGCAGCAUCUAGGUGUGGACCUUGGGGACAAUUGUCCACUUGAGGGAGAGGUAUUGAUAAACCACGAAGGUCCAGUAGAGCAGCACCAAAAAAGAAUUCCAAGUCCACGAAUUGUUGAAGCCCAGAACCCUAGGGAUUUAUUUGCAUUCUGUUCAGCAUUCUGUUUUAUUUUCUGUUUUGCACGUUACAUUCAGUUUUACAUUUCAGUUUAAUGCUUCCUUUAGUUUAGUACGUACAUGAAGGAAAGGCAGGAAAUAUCUUCAAUUAUAAACAUUGGUUUAGCUUUCACCAGAAGAAAGUGCUUGCAAUUAUCAUAAGCUCUGACUGGGACCUAUAAACGAUGAGUGAUUGAUAUAAUGUAAUUACUAAUUUCAUGUAUAUGAAUUAAGAUUAUUUAAUGUUUUUUAAAUAAUUACUUUUGGAGCUUCUCAGGGAAAAUGAUACCGUACGUCUAAAGACUCGAAGAAGAAAAGGAAAAGAAAGACAAAAAAACAAGUGUUUUAUGAAGAUAAUCUCGUAGAUCAUUGGCUUGAAGAGAGUUUAGACGUGAAAUUGACCAAUUCUAGCCUAACUUUUCAACAAUCUUUCAGGUAAGCUUACUGACAAAAGUGAUGUCUAUGUAUUUGGUAACAUUCUUCAGGAGUGUUUGGGGCUAGACUCGUGGACUAUAUAUUUGAGGCUCUUCUGUCAGUUUUAUUGAAGCUUUUUUGUUGUUCAGUUGUAAUCUCCAUAUUUUC
rnacentral:lncRNA from 1 species